rnacentral:lncRNA from 1 species
CAAAAAUACCUUAAACAAGGUUCGCACCUUGGUUUAUUACACCAUUCUGAUUUAAUUUUUUGCUAUUAUUCAUAAGGAUUUUCUUAAAAAACUUGUAAGGUCCCUCAAUGGACAUGCUCUUAGAGCUCGCCAUCUACUUGUCGUGUCGAGAGACAAGGUCGGUGGUGCUUCAAAUCGACGGUUUUUCCCGGAUCAAGGAAAGCAUGGUACUUGGAUUUGCAUUCCACAGAUUCCGCUGUUGUUCGCGUAAAUGUUUGGAUUGUUCAAUCUGUCUAGCUGAGGACUUUCAGGGAUUCUACCUUUAAGCUUGUUGUUACGCAAAUCCAAUGUAUUCAGCUCGCUUAGCUUGGAUAACGUUUUCGGGAUUUCGCCAGUGAGGUUGUUGUGUGAAAGGUCUAAGCUCUCUACCUUCUCAAGAUCUCCAAAACUUUGUGGGAUCAAUCCAGAGAACUCGUUGUUGGAAAGAUUUAAAACCUUUAGGCUUUUGAGAUUGCCUAAAGAAGUUGGGAUUUCUCCGUGUAGCUUGUUCUUGGAGAGAUCUAAGAGAGUGUAGAGGAGCUGAAAUAGGGACGGAUAGUCAUAGCUGAGGGCUCAGGAGAUUUUAUCAUGCAUGUAAGAUUCCCAAGAGAUGAAGGGAGAUAUCCAUCAAGAUUGUUCUCAGAGAGAUCCAAGACCUUAAGGCUUGUGAGAUUUGAUAUGCCUUCUGGGAUUGAACCUUUGAGGGAAUUGUUUCUCAGGCUAAGAACCUCUACAGAAGAAGAUAACUGGGAGAUUAAACUCGCGACUGUUCCAGAGAUUUUGUUGUCAUGGAGAUCAAGACGGAUCAGAUAUGAAAGAUUUCUGAAGUUCUGAGGAAAUUCGCCGCUGAAAUUGUUCUGACUCAUUAAGAGCAUACUGGUGGAUCCUCCAAAGUAAGCUGGAACAUCCCCAGAGAACUCGUUCGAAGAUAUAUCGAGCCACUCAAGGUAUGACUCGGGGCGGAACCUCGGGAAUUCACCUGAUAAUCGAUUCUUUGACAAGUCCAACAACUUGAGAAAGGGGAUCUUUGUAAUAGACUUUGGUACUGAUCCUGAGAAGUUGUUUUCAGACAACAUGAGUACCAUGACCUGUGAUUCGCCAAUCGUAUCAGGGAUCUGACCAGAAAAGUUGUUCCUUGAUAGUACAAGAUAGUAUAAGCUCGGACGCUGAAACAAAUUUGGAGGCAGUGAGCCUGUGAGUCUGUUGUCUGACAAAGUUAUGUUUCUGAUUUUCAGAUCAGCUAGCCAUUUUGGGAAUCUUCCUUCGAGUCUGUUAAUGCUCAAAUCCAAGUAAACAAGAGCUGUUUGAUUCUUGAGCCAAUCCGGAAUAUUCCCUUCUAAGCCACAAGAUCUAAGUGACAGAUGUGUUAACUUAAACUGUGGAAAGACAUAACCAUUAUUGUUCCAUUGGAGUUUGUUGUUUCCUUCAAGCCGUAGUACCUUCAGCUUCUGAAGACCAAACAACCAAGCUGCGGGAAUCUCACCUGACAAGCCAUUGUUAUUCUCAAGCUGAAGGGUUUCAAGAUUUUUCAGAUUAUGAAUCGACGAUGGAAUUCCACCCGACAACUUGUUCAUGCUCAAGGACAGAGUUGAUAGAUUGACCAAGUUUCCAAUAUCAUCUGGAAUCUUAGAAGACAAGAAAUUGUUCUGAAGAUCUAUCGUUUUGAGCUUCGUUAACCGUGAUACAGACGACGGUAUGGAACUAUUGAACAUGUUCUGCCUCAAGGUCAGCGUCAGUAGUUCGACAAGACUACCUUGCAACAUUUUAAAAGAUUCUUGAGCUCUUUGAUGUCACCACUCAACGUACCGCCAAUAACAUUCCUGCUUAAAUCAAGACGCUGAAGAUUUGUCAAGGAGAACAAUUCAUGAGGAAUUGAGCCGUUAAAUCUAUUACAACACAUGUCAAGAGAAAUCAAGCUGGUCAAGUUCACAAACGCAUAUCCAGGAAUCUCUCCUUGUAUGUUGUUAAAUGAGACAUCAAGCCCAACAAGAGAGUUUAUACGCAGAAUCGGUCUCAAAAUGCUUGAACUAACUAAGCCAGGGGGGAUGAGCAAGAAUAGAUUCAGGUCUAUCACUUCUUUGGAAGGCGAACUAGCGUUACAUGUCACGCGUAGCCAUUUGCAGCAAUCUGAGUUUGGCCUCCAUGUCCCUAAUUCUUCAAAGGCUGUGUAGUUGUCCUUGAUGUUGUGAAUCAGCAAGUUCUUGAACUCGAGAAGGGAUUGUCUUUGAUCUUGUGGACAAGAGAAAGAUAGUUGUGGUAUGAAGAAGCAGAAGAAGAGGAAGCAGGAGAGAAGACAUUGCUUCGACAUUUUGCUUUUUGCCCCUUACUGUUCUUCUUUUGUCAUCCAAGUUUUUGGUUAAAAACCAAAUCCGAACAAAUCAACAAAGUUGACUCUGGUAGGGUCUCUCACUCUCGU